CAACUCGAUCUCCUCCCUCAAACGUCUUAUUUCUAGAGAAAAACUCACAGACCCGAGCUGCAAUCCUUUUUUGUGGGGAACUUUUAAAGGUUGCCCACAUCAUCAUCUCUGUACGUAAUCUCUUUAAUUAUUGUUUCUUCGACGUUUGUUGUCAAACUUUCUCAGAGUUCUGCAUCGACCGAAGGAUCAGUACUAGUACUGAUCUGAUCAUGGCCUCCGAACAAGAGUAUGAGCGGACAAUGGAGGAAACGCCUACAUGGGCUGUGGCUGCGGUGUGCUUCGUGUUGAUUGCUAUUUCAAUCUUUAUCGAGUAUAUUCUUCAUGUUAUUGGACAUUGGCUGAAAAAGAAACACAAGCGAGCUCUUUACGAAUCCCUUGAAAAGAUCAAAGCAGAGCUUAUGCUGCUGGGAUUCAUAUCCUUGCUUCUAACAGUGUUUCAAAACUACAUUUCUGAUAUAUGUAUAUCAAAGAGUGUCGGAGCCACCUGGCAUCCAUGUAAAAAUGGGUCGAAGAGUAAGUCGAAGGAGGAAGUUUCUGAUGAGAUAAGUGGCCGUAAACUACUUCAAUUUCUGGAAUCUGACUUCGGUGCACGGCGAAGAUUAGCUACAAAAGGAUAUGACAAAUGCGCAGAAAAAGGAAAAGUCGCUUUGAUGUCGGCGUAUGCGAUUCACCAGCUCCACAUAUUCAUCUUUGUGUUGGCUGUUUUUCAUGUGCUUUACUGCAUCAUCACCUUGGCUUUGGGCAGAACCAAGAUGAGAAAAUGGAAGGUUUGGGAGGAUGAAACAAGAACACUUGAAUACCAGUACACUAAUGAUCCAGAUAGGUUUAGGUUUGCGAGGGAUACAUCAUUUGGACGAAGACAUUUGAGCUUCUGGAGCAAGUCAACGGUUUCCCUUUGGAUAGUGUGUUUUUUCAGACAAUUCUUCAGGUCAGUUACCAAGGUUGAUUACCUCACACUGAGACAUGGGUUUGUCAUGGCACAUUUGGCACCCGAAAGUGAAACGAGAUUUGAUUUUCAGAAAUACAUCAAGAGAUCACUUGAAGAGGAUUUUAAAGUAGUGGUGGAGAUCAGUCCUAUCAUAUGGUUCUUUGCGGUGUUAUUCCUCCUCUCCAACACUUACGGAUGGUUUUCUUAUCUAUGGCUACCGUUUGUCCCAUUGAUUAUAAUCCUGUUGGUGGGGACAAAGUUACUUGUGAUCAUUACAAAAAUGGGGCUAAGAAUACAAGACAGAGGCCAUGUGGUUAGGGGUGCACCUGUGGUGCAACUAGGCGAUGACCUCUUCUGGUUUGGACGCCCUCGCUUCAUUCUCUUCCUCAUUCACUUUGUUCUAUUUCAGAAUGCAUUUCAACUGGCCUUCUUUGCAUGGGGUGUGUAUGCAUUUGGCGCGAACAAUUGCUUCCAUAAGCGCACUGAAGGCAUUGUCAUCAGAAUCUCAAUGGGGGUCAUCAUACAAGUUGUAUGCAGCUAUGUGACUUUGCCUCUCUAUGCUCUAGUUACUCAGAUGGGUUCCACCAUGAAAUCCACCAUUUUCGAUGAUCGAGUGGCAACAGCAUUGAAAAGCUGGCACCACAAGGCCAAAAAGAACGCGAAGCAAAGCCAUCAUUCUGAGAUGAAUUCACCAUUUUCAAGUAGGCCUGCAACUCCCACACACGGGAUGUCCCCAGUUCACCUCCUGCAUAAUUAUCACCAUAGCAGCCUUGACAGCUUGCAUGCAUCCCCGAGAAGGACGACCAAUGUUGUUGAAAAUGAUCACUGGGACAUAGAAGAGAUCCCAUCAACAAGGAACCGAAGUGAUGGGGUUGAUGAUCAUUCUGAUCAGUCGUCGAGUAGGCACUCGGAUCAGCAAGCUCAGAGGCCAAUUCAGGAGCCAAUAAUAAUUAGCAGCUCAUCGCAAUUGCCUCCAGGACCAGGAGCCAUUCGUACUCAGCAUGAAAUCGAAAUGAAUACUUCUGAUUUCACAUUUCGUUAAUUUUAAGGAGAUUGGAUCAUAUAUAGGAGAUUUAUAAUGUUGAUAACGUACGCGUACCAUUGUGUACAUUUUUCUGUAAAUGAGAGCAGCAACAAUGGCAUGUAUGGCAUACUUGGGGAGGCCCCGUGCACGUACGGCGUCCAGGGUGUUUUACUGAAACGAAACGUUUCAUGGAUCAAUCCCUCAAUCACGUUCUUCACCAACACAACUUCAUGAAACGGUGCAUUUCAAUGAGGAUGAAAAAAGGGGCUAGCCCUAUGAUAAUG